UGGAUCCAGACUUUGAUUCUGGCUCAGGAUGAACGCUAGCUACAGGCUUAACACAUGCAAGUCGAGGGGAAACGACAUCGAAAGCUUGCUUUUGAUGGGCGUCGACCGGCGCACGGGUGAGUAACGCGUAUCCAACCUGCCCACCACUUGGGGAUAACCUUGCGAAAGUAAGACUAAUACCCAAUGAUAUCUCUAGAAGACAUCUGAAGGAGAUUAAAGAUUUAUCGGUGAUGGAUGGGGAUGCGUCUGAUUAGCUUGUUGGCGGGGUAACGGCCCACCAAGGCGACGAUCAGUAGGGGUUCUGAGAGGAAGGUCCCCCACAUUGGAACUGAGACACGGUCCAAACUCCUACGGGAGGCAGCAGUGAGGAAUAUUGGUCAAUGGACGAGAGUCUGAACCAGCCAAGUAGCGUGCAGGAUGACGGCCCUAUGGGUUGUAAACUGCUUCUAUAAGGGAAUAAAGUGAGUCUCGUGAGACUUUUUGCAUGUACCUUAUGAAUAAGGACCGGCUAAUUCCGUGCCAGCAGCCGCGGUAAUACGGAAGGUCCGGGCGUUAUCCGG
rnacentral:rRNA from 1 species